rnacentral:rRNA from 1 species
CCUACGGGGGGCAGCAGUGAGGAAUAUUGGUCAAUGGGCGCGAGCCUGAACCAGCCAAGUCGCGUGAAGGAUGACUGCCCUACGGGUUGUAAACUUCUUUUAUCAAGGAAUAAAGUGAGGCACGUGUGCCUUUUUGUGUGUACUUUAUGAAUAAGCAUCGGCUAACUCCGUGCCAGCAGCCGCGGUAAUACGGAGGGUCCGAGCGUUAUCCGGAUUUAUUGGGUUUAAAGGGAGCGGAGGUGGGGUGUUAAGUCAGUUGUGAAAGUUUGCGGCUCAACCGCAACAGUGCAAUUGAUACUGGUAGCCUGGAGUACAGUUGAGGUAGGCGGAAUUCGUGGGGUAGCGGUGAAAUGCUUAGAUAUCACGAAGAACUCCGAUUGCGAAGGCAGCUUACUAAACUGCCACUGACAUUGAUGCUCGAAAGUGUGGGGAUCAAACAGGAUUAGAUACCCGGGUAGUC